rnacentral:tRNA from 1 species
GGGUUGCUAACUCAACGGUAGAGUAUUCGGCUUUUAACCGACUAGCUCCGGGUUCGAAUCCCGGGCAACCCA